rnacentral:tRNA from 1 species
GCCUGGGUGGCUCAGUCGGUUAAGCGUCUGACUUCAGCUCAGGUCACGAUCUCGCGGUCCGUGGGUUCGAGCCCUGCGUCGGGCU